rnacentral:rRNA from 1 species
AUUGAACGCUGGCGGCAUGCCUUACACAUGCAAGUCGAACGGCAGCACGGGAGCAAUCCUGGUGGCGAGUGGCGAACGGGUGAGUAAAGUAUCGGAACGUGCCCAGUCGUGGGGGAUAACGUAGCGAAAGUUACGCUAAUACCGCAUACGAUCUAUGGAUGAAAGCGGGGGAUCGCAAGACCUCGCGCGAUUGGAGCGGCCGAUAUCAGAUUAGGUAGUUGGGGGGGUAAAGGCUCACCAAGCCGACGAUCUGUAGCUGGUCUGGGAGGACGUCCAGCCACACGGGGACUGAGACACGGCCCAGACUCCUACGGGAGGCGGCAGUGGGGAAUGUUGGACAAUGGGCGAAAGCCUGAUCCAGCCAUGCCGCGUGCAGGAUGAAGGCCUUCGGGUUGUAAACUGCUUUUGUACGGAACGAAAAGGUUUGGCCUAAUAAGCUGAGCUCAUGACGGUACCGUAAGAAUAAGCACCGGCUAACUACGUGCCAGCCGCCGCCGUAA